UACUUUCAAUUUUGAUUUUGGCUCAUCUUUUGCCAUUUCUUGAAACCCCUUAUCACUAAAUGUAUCUAUAUAGUUUAUUCUUUGUUCAUACACCCCUAGCUAGCUUCAUGGAUUCAAUUCUUUAUAAGCUAUGGAUCAAUUUAUGAGAGGUGCACGUUGAAGAGAUGAACUGUACUUAGAAAAUCAAAGUAAGAUGCGUGUUGAGCUAAAUCUACUUAGCUGUCUAUUAUGAAUGAUCCAAUGGAGCCCUAAGGAAAUGACUUUCUCUCAUCGAUUUGAGAAAGUAUGAAAAAGAUGGUUGAGUGGGAAGGAUAGAGAAGUGAAAUGAACAAAGGAGCAGGUGGACCACUUCAUUCCACUAGUGAUUAGGGUUUUCUUUUUUGCUUGUUGGUAAAGGACCCUUUUGAUGAGUUUUAGGCUAUUUUUAAUCUUUGACUCUAAUUGGUUUUUCUAAUUCCUUAUGUAGGAUACUUUAGGUGAAUUUCCCUUUUUGUAUGCUUUAUUACUGACUGGCCGGAAUACUGGAUGGAUGUGUGGGUAUGAAUAUUUUCUUAAAAGUUUUAAAAUCUUUUUAAAAAUUAAAACGAAAAUGUUUAUACACGACUUAUGUUUUAUUUGAGUUUUACAUAAGGAUAAAGAAAUUUAAGAUAUCUUUUUUGAGAACUUUUUUAAAAAGAUAAAGGAAGGGAAAGUAUUUUCUUUAUUUUUCUGAAGGAUAAUUACGUAGGAACAUUUCUUUUCUAAGAAUGCAGUGAUGGAGAUUGACGCUCAAUUUUGCUUAGUGGUAAUAUUAGUGUAAUGAGUAGUGAUAAUACUACCAUCAAAAUUGAUAAACUUACCACAUGAUAUAAAUUAUAUAGCAUACUGUACAAGUAUUUAAUGAA